GCCAUCAUGAUACAGUGGUUUGAGUGUUGGACUGUAGCUCAGAAGACUGGGGUUCAAAUCCCUGCUCAGCCA